UAGGGAAUCUUCCACAAUGGGGGCAACCCUGACCGAGCAACGCCGCGUGAGUGAAGAAGGUUUUCGGAUCGUAAAGCUCUGUUGUAAGAGAAGAACGUGUGUGAGAGUGGAAAGUUCACACAGUGACGGUAACUUACCAGAAAGGGACGGCUAACUACGUGCCAG
rnacentral:rRNA from 1 species